rnacentral:lncRNA from 1 species
CCGGGGGGGGGCAGGAGGAGGGAUACAUGGGGGGAGACACCGGGGGGGGACACCGGGGUGGCACCAAGGGAGCGGGGACACCCCAGGGUGUCACCAAAUGGGGUCCUGGCACCUCGGGAUGUCACCAUGGGAGGAGGGGGGACACUCCGUGGUGUCACCAAGGAGGGGGGUGGCACCCGGGGAUGUCCCCAAAGAGGGGUUUGGCACCCCAGGGUGUCACCAAGCACCGCCCGGACCGGGCUCUGACCCCCGGAACCGAGCUCCGGGACCGCCCGGACCGAGCUCUGAGCUCCGGUACCGAGCACCGGGAACCCACCACGGACCCUCAGAAGUGGCUCCGAGCUCCGGUACCGAGCACCGGGACCGCCCGGACCGGGCUCCAAGCUCCGAGCUCCGGUACCGAGCACCGGGAACCCACCACGGACCCUCAGAAAUGGCUCCGAGCUCCGGGACCGAACACCGGGGACCUACCGGAGACCCCUCGCUCUCACUCCAAGCACCAACAGCGGACCCCAGACCCACCGGGGACCCCCGGGACUCUCCCCACGGCCCCGGGAGGUCCCUCCCGGACCCGCGGCCCGGUCCCGGCAGGUACCGAGCCCCGCGGUGGGGGUCCCCAGGCCUACCCCCACCCCAAAAAUCAUCGCCGCGGUGGGAACGGGGGGGUCCCCAGAGACCCCUGGCGGGUCCUGGGGGGGGAUUUUGGGGGUCCUGAAGGUUUUUGGGGGUGGAAACCCCAAAUUUCAGGGGGAUCCCCAGAAUUUCCCCCCCCCCCCGGAGCUGUGGGGGAGGGGAGGACCCCAAAUUUGGGGGGGGGGUCCCUGGGUGACCAUGUGGGGGCACAAGCGGCUUCCCACAAAGCACCGCGCGGGAAGCGAUGAUAUAUUUGCAUAAUCCCGCCCACCAACGGCAAAACCGCAAAGAAACCAGUUCAUUUGCAUAACCACGCCCACUUUUAAACCCCCAUCACUCCCGCGGAAAAAUAUUUGCAUAACCACGCCCAAAACUUCUCGCAGAGGACGGACUGCGCGGGACUCACCAAUCACAACGCAGGAUUCAUCUAUAUUUGCAUAACCACGCCCCCCAUUCGGCCCCGCCCGCAGCCGCCUCCGGGCGCGGUUCGCUCCCAGAUCCAUCCCAGUCCUCCCGGUUCCCUCCCAGCGCUCCCAGUUCCCUCCCA